rnacentral:rRNA from 1 species
AGUGAACGCUGGCGGUAGGCCUAACACAUGCAAGUCGAACGGCAGCACAGUAAGAGCUUGCUCUUACGGGUGGCGAGUGGCGGACGGGUGAGGAAUACAUCGGAAUCUACUUUUUCGUGGGGGAUAACGUAGGGAAACUUACGCUAAUACCGCAUACGACCUACGGGUGAAAGCAGGGGAUCUUCGGACCUUGCGCGAUUGAAUGAGCCGAUGUCGGAUUAGCUAGUUGGCGGGGUAAAGGCCCACCAAGGCGACGAUCCGUAGCUGGUCUGAGAGGAUGAUCAGCCACACUGGAACUGAGACACGGUCCAGACUCCUACGGGAGGCAGCAGUGGGGAAUAUUGGACAAUGGGCGCAAGCCUGAUCCAGCUAUACCGCGUGGGUGAAGAAGGCCUUCGGGUUGUAAAGCCCUUUUGUUGGGAAAGAAAAGCAGCAGGUUAAUACCCCGCUGUUCCGACGGUACCCAAAGAAUAAGCACCGGCUAACUUCGUG